GUAACGAAUCUUCCGCAAUGGGCGAAAGCCUGACGGAGCAAUGCCGCGUGUGGGAUGAAGCAUCUUCGAUGUGUAAACCACUGUCAGGGUCUAGGAAUACUGACCAGACCCAGAGGAAGGGCCGGCUAAUUCCGUGCCAGCAGCCGCGGUAAUACGGAAGGCCCGAGCGUUAAUCGGAAUCACUGGGCUUAAAGCGUACGCAGGCGGACUUGUAGGUAUCUUGUGAAAUCCCACGGCUUAACCGUGGAACUGCAGGGUAAACCACAAGUCUUGAGACAUGUAGGGGUCAGUGGAACCAUGAGUGGAGCGGUGAAAUGCGUAGAUAUUCAUGGGAACGCCAAUGGCGAAGGCAGCUGACUGGGCAUGUUCUGACGCUCAGGUACGAAAGCGUGGGUAGCGAACGGGAUUAGAAACCCGAGUAGUCC
rnacentral:rRNA from 1 species